UAGGCUGCAGGUGUAAGUACAGUAAUGUAUUCAGCCAAGCAGUACUAAUG
rnacentral:rRNA from 1 species